AAACGACUCUCGGCAACGGAUAUCUCGGCUCUCGCAUCGAUGAAGAACGUAGCGAAAUGCGAUACUUGGUGUGAAUUGCAGAAUCCCGUGAACCAUCGAGUCUUUGAACGCAAGUUGCGCCCGAAGCCACCAGGCUGAGGGCACGUCUGCCUGGGCGUCAC
rnacentral:rRNA from 4 species